GAGUGGCAAUACAUCAUUUUUAUCAGCAAUUGGGAAAGAACCUGUGUAUCAGUCUACAUGGAAUGCUUCACACAACAGCACAUUGUGAUAGGUAUCCGUGCGCUAUGGCACGUAUAUAAAUUCCAAGAAUUCAUAUAAUUUACCUGAUAGAUCAGGAGCCAUUACAGUCUGCUGUGUAAAUUCAUAUUUUGGCACUCUUUAAAAAGUGGAUUAUUAUUGACCCAAUAGACCAUAACAGUUCCAAAGAAGCCAUUACUGUCUGUUGUGUAAAUCCUUCAUGGUGUGUGUUUUAUUGACCCUUAGGAGCAAUCAGGGGUCUGUCUUGUCAGUCUAGCUGCCAUGUAUGUGUACCAAAUGCAUGUGCUAAAAAUGCCUCAGAAAUUGAAGCCGUGGUCAAAUUACCCUUGUUCCUGCCCAAGAAGCCACUGCAUGAAAUUGGACACUUCCAUUGCAGUUUCCCUCUCUACCUUCAGAAUUCUAUUUCCUUUUAUUUAUGAAGAGGUUGGACAUUUGAAACGUGGAUAAGAAAAUGGUCACUUGCUUUAAAAAUUCCAGAAAGAAAGAAAGAAAGAAAGAAAGAAAGAAAGAAAGAAAGAACGAACGGAAGGAAGGAGCAGAUUUGUCUCUGCGUGGAAAGAUGUCUCAGGGACUGUGUGGAUUUACCAGCUUCCGGGAGGUUGGCACAAAUGCAGAGCGAUUUCUCUAGUUUGGGCUUUGGGGGAAAUCAAAUGAGAUCUUUCUUGAAUUGUCCCACCUGCUUAUUUCGUGUUUCUCCACCUGCCUGAGCCCUUCUCACAUUUGAAACACAAAUGGACACUGGGAUAUUUUACCAGAGUAGCCUCUUAGUUAUCUGCACAUUUGAUAAAAAUAACAUGAGCUACUUUGAGGCCGCA
rnacentral:lncRNA from 1 species